UCCUGGCCCUGCACAGGACAGCCAGUGUGAUAUGCACAAAUUCAAAACAUAGUACCAUAGCAGCUACUGUGAAGACAAUUAACCCAGCCAAAACUCACUCAGUUCCAGCAACUGAUUGGGUGCACAUUUCCAAGUGGACUUGAAGAAAUGGAUCUAUUUAAACUGAGAGAAUCUGCUAAUUCAGCAGGCAAGAAGAAGGAAGCCAGGAAGCUGCAGACUGGUCAUGCUUACCUUGAUGUGUGGAGAAGUGAUGGAAAAACUCAUCCUGGAAGCUAUUUCCAGGCACAGGGAGGUGAUCCAGAGUAGGCUGCAUGGAUUAAUGAAAGAGAUGCUGUGCUUGG